ACUCCUACGGGAGGCAGCAGUGGGGAAUCUUGCGCAAUGGGCGGAAGCCUGACGCAGCAACGCCGCGUGAGGGAUGACGGCCUUCGGGUUGUAAACCUCUUUCGCGAUCGACGAAGGUCAUGCUUUGGCAUGGCUGACGGUAGGUCGAGAAGAAGCACCGGCCAACUACGUGCCAGCAGCCGCGGUAAUACGUAGGGUGCGAGCGUUGUCCGGAAUUAUUGGGCGUAAAGAGCUCGUAGGCGGUGUGUCGCGUCGGCCGUGAAAACCUGGGGCUUAACUCUGGGCGUGCGGUCGAUACGGGCAUCACUAGAGUUCGGCAGGGGAGACUGGAAUUCCUGGUGUAGCGGUGAAAUGCGCAGAUAUCAGGAGGAACACCGGUGGCGAAGGCGGGUCUCUGGGCCGAUACUGACGCUGAGGAGCGAAAGCAUGGGUAGCGAACAGGAUUAGAUACCCUGUAGACAUCAC
rnacentral:rRNA from 1 species